rnacentral:lncRNA from 1 species
UUUUUUUUUUUUUUAGGGUCGCAUCCACGGCAUAUGGAGGUUCCCAAGCUAGGGGGCUGAAUUGGAGCUACAGCUGCUAGCCUAUGCCACAGUCACAGCAAUGUAGGAUCUGAGCUGCAUCUGCAACCUACACCUCAGCUCACAGCAACACUGGAUCCUUAACCCACUGAGCAAGGCCAGGGAUUGAACCUGCGUCCUCAUGGAUACCAGUCAGAUUCAUUUCCACUGAGCCAUGAUGAGAACUCCUAAAAAAACUUUUUUUAAAAAAAGAAAAAAAUUUAAAAGACAGGUGUCAGAACUAUGUUCAGUAUGGCACCACUGAUGUUUAAGCUAAUUUGCUUUCAUACACAAGAGAAUGUAGAGUUUGGAAUGCGGGCAUGACUCUCUGGCAAGAGAGCAAGGGAACAGAUGUGGGAGGGAGGAUUUUAACCUCAUAUCAUUUUCUACCUUUUACUUUGUAACCAUCUAUACCUUUUACCUACAUCCUUUAAACAGAAAUAAAACUGGUUUGCCAGCCUCCAUAAGGAUGAACACAACUCUCUCUGAAAUCAAAAGAAUCUAAAUAAUAUCUGAUAACAAGCCAAGACACUAAAAAGAAUGUACUCCUAUCCCAGGAACUUCCAUAUGCCACUGGUGUGGCUGUAAAAAAACAAUACUAUAGACUUCCCUGGUGGCUCAGUGGGUUAAGGAUCCAGGGUUGUCACUGGUGUGGGUUUGAUUCCCUGGCUGAGAAUUUACAUGCUGCAGGCGUGGCUAAAAACUUUUUUUCUUAUUUUUAAAAAAAGAAUGACAGAACUACAAUACAACCAUUCCUUCUCACUGUCCAUCUGAGAGAGGAGGUCUGAACAAGGGUGUUCAUUACAGCAUGGUUUGUACUAGGGAAAAAUUGAAAACAGACUAAACUUUCAUCAACAAGAAAAUGGCUAAGGAAGCAAUGUAUUAGAGAAUACGCUGUGGACUGAACGUCUGUUGCCUUCCCCCACCAGAAUGAAUAUGCUAGGUCCCUAGCCCCCAGUGUGAUGGUAUUGGGGCAUUUGGGAAGUACUUAGGUUUAAAUGAGGACAUGAGGGUGGGGACUCUAGGAAAGAGACCCAGAACUUGUACCCUCUAUGCCAUGUGAGGAUGCAGAGAGAAGAAGGCCAGCUGUGAGCCGGAAGAGGGCUUCAUCAGGAAUCAAAUCAUCUGGCACUUUGAACUUGGACUUCCCAGCCUCCAGAACUGUGAGAAAUAAAUGUCUAUUGUUUAAGCCACCAAGUCUAUGGCAUUUGGUUGUGCAGCCUGAGCUGACUAAUAGAAGUACCAUGAAGCCAUUCAAAAGUAUAAAACAUAUGUACGUACUGACAUGGAAAGAACUUAAAGACCCAUAACUGGAAUAAGCCAGUUAUGAUUACAAUAUCACAGUGUUGUACACUUAGGUAAAAGAUAUUCAUGUAACAAUACUAUAAAAUCAUACAGAGAUGCAUAGAAAACUGUCUAGAAAUAUAAACAUCUAACAAAUAAGAUAAUUUGGGUAUGUGGGAGAUUUAUGGUCAAAAGGGAUGUUAGCUUUGCUCAUAAAUUUUAAAUUUUUAUAAAAAUGUACUUCACUAUUACUUGUGUAAUUUUAUUUUAUUUCUUUAAAAAUUUUUUUGCUUUUUGUUUUUUGUUUUUUUUCCUAGGGCUGCACCCAAGGCAUACGGAAGUUCCCAGGCUAGGGGUCAAAUCGGAGCUAUAUCUGCUGGCCUACACCACAGCCACAGAAAAACAAGCUCCAAGCCUCCUCUGUGACCUACUCCAUAGUUCAUGGCAAUGCCAGAUCCUCGACCCACUGAUUGAAGCCAGGUAUCAAAACUGCAUCCCUCAUGGAUACUAGUCAGUUUUGUUUCUGCUGCACCAUAAUGGGAACUCCCUUAAAAUUUUUAUUGUUAUUAUUUUUUUUAUGGCCGUGCCUAUGGCACAUGGAAGCUCCUGGGCCAGAGACUGAAUCAGAGCUGCAGCUGUGACCUAUGCCACAGCUGUGACAACACAGACCCUUUAACCCACCUCGACAGGCUGGGGAUCAAACCCACACCUCUGCAGCAACCCAAGCUGCUACAGUCAGAUUUUUAAUCCACUGUGCCACAGCAGGGACUUCCAUAAUUUUAAAUUAUUUUAGGAUGUACUUCUCCAAAAGGUUCAGAAAGGAUAGCCUGACCCUAAGCCACUAGGUCAGUCUACUUCUGGGGUAUUUUUAGAAUCGAAAUUCUAAAAUCUGCCUUCCAAUCUGAGAGUUUUUUCCACAACCAUUUAGCUCUCCAUCUUAAUUUGGAAACCAAUAAAAGUUACAUUCUCUGCUCAAGAGAGAAUAAAGCAGGACUUAUCCCACCAGACCCAAUGAGGAGAUAAUGCACUAAACAUAACAUGGUUAGAUCUCAACAAGGUUAGCUAAGACAAUUAAUUUCAAAGCCUUCCAACUGACAGCAAUACACAAAUUAGCUUCCACAUCAGCUUUAGGAAACUAAUUUUGCUACGGUAAAGAAUUCAGUAGGGGGUUCUGAUGCCUUUUAAAGAAGAAGAAGAUUCACUUCAAAGGGAGAUGAAACUAUUUUUCUAGAGCAACUUCGUAAUUAUACCACAAGGACAAUGUUUACCUCUAAAACAAACACCCAGUAGGAAUAUGCUGGAAGGAAGAAAGAAGCCUCAAAACAGUGGCAGGUUGAAAUCUGUAAGAGACAUCCGUGAGAGGAAAAUAAAAAGAUCAAAAGUCUCAGAAAGUUUGUUAGCAAUUAUAGUAUGCACCAACAUUUAUUUAUUCAGUCAAAAAAUAUUGAGUUGACAGUGUCAGGCGCUGGGGAGACAGUAGUGAGCAAGACACACGAAAACCCUGCCUUUGUGACAUUCUGGCAAUAAACGUAAUAACAAUCUGGGCAGGUAAAUAAGGAGUACCGGGUAAGAGGUUUCUACUUUAAAUACAAUGAGUGGUCAUGGAAGGUCCCACUGAGAAGGUGAUGUUUGAGCAUCACCUUGAAGGAAGCAAGCCUGGUAUCUAAGGGAUGUUUGAUCUAGGCAGAGGAAACAGCAAGUGCAAAGUUCCUGAGGUAGGGACAGACCUAGCCUGUGUUUGUGGGGCAGCAAGAGGCUAAUAUGGGUGGAGCAGAGAGACCAAGUGAAGAAUCCCAGGAGAUCUUAUGAGAGGAAGCCAGGAGCCCGAUGGUGUAGGGUCCUGCAGGCCACUAUAAGGGCUCGGGUUUUCACUUGGAGAGACGGGAGCCAUAGAGGAGUUUAGAGAGGAGGAGGAACAUGAACUCACAUACCACUGAAUACUCUGAAGGAGAGCAAAGGGAGAGGUAGACCAGUUAGGAUGUCACUGCCCUAACCCAGGUAUUAUAAGUAUUUCACAUAUUAAGUCAUUUACGUCUCAACAUGCUAUGAGGCAGGUGUUAUUAUCAGGCUCCAUUUGUGAAUGAGGAAAGUGAUGGAGUUACGGUUGUACAGUCAGUGAGCAGCAAAGCCAAGAUUUUAACCCAGGCAACAUGAUUCCAAGCCUGGGCUCUUGAUCAGUCUAUGAUGCCACCUGUGGUGCAGGCUAAGAGAGAGGAGCUGGCAUGUGGGGAGGUUGCUAAGGACCAGAUGCAAGAGGAGAGGUGGCAUCUGUUCAUAGAGGGAAAGAGGAAACUCAGAGAAAGUUUGAGGGAAGACCAAGAGGCGUGUGCAUGGGGAAGGGUCCAAGAUGUCAUCACAAAUCUUUAGUUGUAAUGAAGUCCAGUUAUAAUUCUUGCCACUGAAUUUUAAAACAUUUCCCUGAUCUCACCUAAAAUCCUUCAUUUUUAUCUCAGCUACUUUGAAUGGAUCUCUGCUCUUUGGAACCAAACUAAUUCCCAUAUGUGCCAGGCACUGCAGAUACUAAGAUAAAGUAUGGUUCCAGCCCUCCAAAGAUUUAUGGCCACCUCAAGUCUGAUGAUGAACUUAGUUAUUUUUUGAGCCAAUCUUUAUAGGAGAUACAUAUGGAAGGUUGUAUCAAGCACAACACAGAACACUUUACAUGCAUUCCAUGAGGUGGAUGUUAUAAUUAGCUCCAUCUUACAGAUGAGGAAAGGAAGGCUCAGAGAUGUUAUGUCCCUUACACAAGAGGAUGGUGUGAUAAAUGGCAAAACCCACACUCCAGCUUAGGUGUGAUAGGCUCUAAGGGCCACAGUCUGAAGCACUGAGUUUCCCUUGAGCUUGUUGUCUCUGUUCUGUGAGGCACCUCAUAGAGCUGCAGAGUCUCCACUCAACAGCUUCUACCCUUGCUGUGGGCAGAAAUAAUCUGGCAAGUCACCCCUAACAUCUCAGAGUCCAUAUCUAGGGAAAUUGGCCUUUAUUCCAAAAAAACUGGAAUUUGGGCAUAACAGUUUUGUGCACACAGUUGGAACAUCAUACCCUCCUCUCUACCCCUUCCAUGAUGCUUACCUUUUAGUCCUCCCACUGCUAAGUUCCUCUGUGUUUACCGAGGUUUUUUCAAUGAGUCCACACCUCUCUAUGAAAUAGGUACUAUUUUUAUUCCCAUAUUUAUUGGUGAGGAAACUAAGGCUCAGAGAGGUCAAGUCACUUGCCUAAGGUCACAAAUGUAGAAGUGGCAGAGCCAGAAUGUGAACCCGAGCAGUGUGACUAUGGAUUCUACAUACUGGAAUCAUUUUGCUGACUGGUCAGUUAAGUUACAGACAGAAUGAGAAAAGUAAACAAGAAAGGGGAGUCAGAAUGUCAAGUCUUGAAUCUAUAAAUGGCUCUAACCUGGUUUCAUUUUGGAAGACAGCCCCUCCAAGGGCAUAGCUAUGGGUCACAGGCCUGCAUGGGAAAUAGCUCUUCUACCCUCGUGGGCUUAGGGGUGACCUGGCCCUGCUGGGGAGACAAGAUAAAUGGAACCUUUGUCGAGGGACAGAGAAUUUACAAUGCAAAACGAAAGAGCAGCAGACAGCUGCCACCAGCCCCCACCUCUCACAACAUCCCUCCCCACAUCCAGAAAAAAAGUGGAAAGCAUCAUUUUUUCCAUGAUUAUGACUGCCUCCUGGAGGGGAUUGCAGUUGGGCCCCAACUGUAGUUUCCCCACCCCACAGAUAGACUACAGGGGUAUAAUUGCUUUUUAUUUUGGAAACGGUAGAUGGAAGUAGAUUCUGAAAUCUACCCACUCUUAGUCACCAAUUCCCUCAAACUCUUAGAACAUGCACACAUGCAGCACACACACAGUUCUUUGUUGAAGCAAACUAUGCCCAUCCUUUAAAGCCCCCUGAAAUCUCACCUCUUGUGGUAAGCCUUCCUUGAACACCCAAAGAGGAAGCAUCUCUCUUGCCUCAGAUCUCCAAGAAUCAGAGUUUCUUAGAGGAAACCAAGUUCAAAGAGAUUAACUGACCCAGGUCCACAUGGCACAAAAAAUGUCAAAGCCACACUAGAUUUCAAGUGUCUUCAUACCUCUCCCCAGGCUAAUUCUCUUCCAUGAGAUCAAGAGUUCUAAUUAUCUCUAUCCUACCCCUGAACACUUUCUGACUGGAGGAUAGUAUUCAUCAUAUCAGUGUUGAUUGACUGGUAAUGGCUGUCUGGAACACUGUGUUGAGAAGGUCAGCAUGUUGC